UCCCCCGUAGCUCAAUUGGCAGAGCGUCCGACUGUUAAUCGGCAGGUUACUGGUUCAAGUCCAGUCGGGGGAG
rnacentral:tRNA from 1 species